UUGUAGGCAUGGAAACCCGGUAUGGCUGUUGUGUCGCAAUCAACAAGGCCCUAUCAUCAUCCCAUCUUCUGCAUGAAGCAAGUCUUUCUGAACUCGUUCGGAAGUUGAAUGAUGCGGUGAAACAGGGCCCUUACCUUUCUGAUAGGAAGCGUGUGGAGGCACGGCCGGUGGUUGAUACUGCAGAGAGGUUUUAAGCUGCUCUCGAGUAUUCACCCAAAGUAAACGAUCAGUCUCACAGCGUAGCUAGGAGGUAACUGGGCGUGCCCUGCGUCUCAUGCGGUUGGCUUAUGAGUAACAGACAUAGAUAUGAUGUACCUGGACGAUGGGGAGGACAAUGUGUACCUAAACUUACAAAGCAAAGAUGUUGUUUCUUCUAUUUUGCUUUGUGGAUGUCUUAUGCAGCCCAUACCUGCGAAAGAAAAUCAUCUGUUGCAGGACCGUGCC